rnacentral:lncRNA from 1 species
CCUGGCUGCUCUGUUCAGACUGCCAUCAGGGUCCAUGGUCAGGACACUCACUCACAUUGCCUAAGCAGACAGGUCCUGCCUGGCCACCCUGUGUGUAGCUUUUCCACCUCGUUCAGACUCUGACACUGUUGGAUGCCUGUGUACAUGUUCUCCACAGCAUGGUUUACUGGUUUAGGUCUUCAGGCUUAUCAGUCUCUACCACAUUUAUGACUCCGCAAAGGUAUGUGUCCUGCCUUUCAGCCUUACUUCUAGAGAGGAUAUCAGCCAAAGAUUAUAAGGUAACUAGUUUGGGACAGAAUCAUGACUAGAAAAUAUUACUACAAAACUUUAAAAUUCUCUAGAUUGGAAAGUAUCAAAA